ensembl:lncRNA
GAGAGAUCAGUGUCAGGCUGGGCCCUGAGAGCACAGACACCACCACCCUCCCAAAGGCACAGGAAGCAGUUUGUGGCACACAUUCCUGCAGUAAAGGGAGCAUUGCACCACUGCCAUCCAGCAACUCCGUGGUUUCACCAAGGAGAUCAAGGCCAGAGUGGAGGUGUCCAGCUCAGCAGUUGCAAUCUGAGGGGCACGUUCCCCCUCAGACACAGCCCCCACAAACAGCUCAACCCUUCCAGGAUCCCUGCUUGGACAGUGCUGCUCACCAGAAAGCUCCAGGUGUUCUGGCCCUCCAGCACCUCCAUCAUUCCUCCUGGCAGAGCCCUGUGGGGUUUCUGGAACCCCCAGAAAAGCUCCUCAAAGACCACUGUGUCCCCCUGGCCACCAUCAACAGCCAAAAGACGGCACAAAUCACCUCGGACUUGGAUUUUAAAGAGAAUCCCACCAAAAGUGCCGUUUUGUCCGUGAUGAAGAAUCAGCCAGCUGUGGGAGAGACCCCAAAGGGAGCUGGGCAGGGGGGCGGCACAGGGGCUGCUGCAGGGGGGCACAGGGGGNGAGGGGCAGCGGGAGGGAGCGGGGCUCGGGCUGUGGGUGCUGCGGGGUUUGGGAGCCCGGAGCUGUUUGCUUAACGUGAAUACUCGGGUUUGACAUGGGCUGGGCUCUCCUCACAGGCUGCCUGCAGUUUGUGUCCCUCCUUAAGGAUUUUGAGAUCCCUGCCCGCCGAAAGCACCUGUGCCAUGUGUGAGAUGUGUGAGGAAACAUCGUUCCUUAAGCGGAGAAUCUCAGUCCUGAAGUUUAUUGUCACUGCUUUGUGAGAUUCAAGAAGACAUUCAGAAGCUUAAAAUGGAAAAAACCAACUUGAAAGGAAAUGCAGAAGCCGUGGAUAUUUGUGACCUCAGAAAAGCAGCUGACAGGCCUGAACUUGGGCUGAGAAAACAAGCUGAAAAUUAUUCCAGUGUUAUAAAUGGCCAAGAGUUAACUCUUUCUUCAGCUGGUAAUAAAGAAGUAAAUUCCAAAGAGCCCCCUAAGUGCAGGAAUCCUGGUUCUGGAGCCUGUGAGCAGCAGCUGGUCCUGCCCCGGGUGCCGGCCCUGGCUGUGCAGAGGAGCAGCAGAGCAGCCCCACGGCAGGUGGAAAUGGAUUUUAAAAUCAUGCUUGACCCAGAGAACAUGGAGAAUAAAGCUGAUUUAAAACUUCCCAGUGAUGAGACCAGACUGCCACUUAUAGCUAAGAAAAAAUCUGCUCCUGUGUGCAGUCAGAGGACAGGGAAGGAGCCCCCAGCCCCCAGCCCUUGGGCUUUGCCUGCCUUCCCCUCCCUGGGCUCUCCCCUGGCCCUGCUGGAAGAGGACACCCCAAAAGGUGCCCUGAGCCCCAGUGGCCAGAGGCUGAUGCUGCCAACAGCCCUGAGGGCUCUGCCAGCCCCUCCUGCCGUGCCCAGAGCAGCUCCUGGCCCUCAGCUCCCCAGGCAGCACAAGAAACCAGCUCUGGGAGAGAUCAGUGUCAGGCUGGGCCCUGAGAGCACAGACACCACCACCCUCCCAAAGGCACAGGAAGCAGUUUGUGGCACACAUUCCUGCAGUAAAGGGAGCAUUGCACCACUGCCAUCCAGCAACUCCGUGGUUUCACCAAGGAGAUCAAGGCCAGAGUGGAGGUGUCCAGCUCAGCAGUUGCAAUCUGAGGGGCACGUUCCCCCUCAGACACAGGUGACUGGUGGAAGGGAUCACUCAGUGAGGAUAAUGAGGGUUUUAUUUGUGGUUUUUUUUACUGUCUUCACCAGGGCUGGUUUAGGGAGGGACUGUAAAUCUCAGGAGGGUUUGAACCACAUCUAGUAAGUACUGAAAUAAAAUAACAAAUAGUUUGUGUAUUCCA